rnacentral:rRNA from 1 species
UACGUAGGGUGCGAGCGUUAAUCGGAAUUACUGGGCGUAAAGCGCACGUAGGCGGAUUUGUAAGUCAGGGGUGAAAUCCCGGGACUCAACCUCGGAACUGCCUUUGAUACUGCAAGUCUCGAGUCCGAUAGAGGUGGGUGGAAUUCCUGGUGUAGCGGUGGAAUGCGCAGAGUAUCAGGAGGAACACCGAUGGCGAAGGCAGAUCGUCCUGGGCCGUACUGACGCUGAGGAGCGAAAGCGUGGGGAGCGAACAGG